GUACUGAGACACUGACUUGGCAAAAAGUAUGUAAAAUUAUGUAACCUUGAGCUUGGUUCUGGGAACUGGACUUGUGGGUUCUAAGUCCGGUGAUGAGCCCGACUCUGUGUGAUGGCAUCUACUAAAUGAAUGAUGGUGCCGGCAACCACUUCCUCUCAUACAUGAUGUGGUCUUUCCUUUUCCUAGGAUGUUUGGGGGAAAUGGAUUUGAAGAGGGAACAAACAAGGAUAGAAAAACUCAUCAAGAGAUUAUUACAACAAUCCCAAAGAGAAAUGAUGAUGGCCAGAACUAAGGCUGUGACUAGCACGAAAGGAAGAGAGAAGAUAGAAGUAUCAACAAAACAAGGUGAAUAACUGAGCUUCAAAGGGAUUAAGCAACGUGGCUGUGGUUACACAAUGAUGGAGCUGGAAUUUAAACUCAGAUAUUUUUUAUUGCAAAAGUCAUGUUCCUAUUCAAACUGCUUUCCAAAUGGCUGAGUGCUCACAUAAUGAGAAAUGUGGGCUUUGCUAAUAUAAAAUAUGAAUGUGUUUAGGGCCAUCUGUUUCUCUCCAUUCCAAUACCCAUUACCA